UUAAUCGGAUCCUCUCCGAAGCAUAUAUUUUGUUAAUUUGCCUAACAUUUUUCGUCAAGCAUUUCGCUUCUGUAAAAAUCUCGAUGCAAGCUUUUUCUCUUUUUGAGGUCCUUCACUUUGCUUUAGAAGCCCUCUUCUUGGCAUUGCAAGCCUCUUUUUCAAAAGCCACAAUUUGAACACUGAUGGGUAGAUCCAUGAC
rnacentral:lncRNA from 1 species